GAUGAACGCUAGCUACAGGCUUAACACAUGCAAGUCGAGGGGAAACGAUAUUGGAAGCUUGCUUCCGAUAGGCGUCGACCGGCGCACGGGUGAGUAACGCGUAUCCAACCUGCCCACCACUUGGGGAUAACCUUGCGAAAGUAAGACUAAUACCCAAUGAUAUCCAUAGAAGACAUCUGAAAUGGAUUAAAGAUUUAUCGGUGAUGGAUGGGGAUGCGUCUGAUUAGCUUGUUGGCGGGGUAACGGCCCACCAAGGCGACGAUCAGUAGGGGUUCUGAGAGGAAGGUCCCCCACAUUGGAACUGAGACACGGUCCAAACUCCUACGGGAGGCAGCAGUGAGGAAUAUUGGUCAAUGGGCGAGAGCCUGAACCAGCCAAGUAGCGUGCAGGAUGACGGCCCUAUGGGUUGUAAACUGCUUUUAUAAGGGAAUAAAGUGGGAGUCGUGACUCCUUUUGCAUGUACCUUAUGAAUAAGGACCGGCUAAUUCCGUGCCAGCAGCCGCAGUAAGAC
rnacentral:rRNA from 1 species